rnacentral:rRNA from 1 species
AGAGAGAGACAUGCGCGCAUAUCAAUAAGCGGAGGAAAAGAAACUAACAAGGAUUCCCCUCAGUAACGGCGAGUGAAGCGGGAAGAGCUCAAAUUUGAAAUCUUCAAGGGUUCUACCUUUACGAAUUGUAGUUUAAAGAAGUGUUUUCUGUUGAGGUUUUGGUAAAAGUUCUUUGGAAUAGGACAUCAUAGAGGGUGAGAAUCCCGUAUUUGACCUUUACUUUCAACUUUGUGAUACACUUUCAAAGAGUCGGAUUGUUUGGGAAUGCAGUCCAAAAUGGGUGGUAAAUUUCAUCUAAAGCUAAAUAUUGGCGAGAGACCGAUAGCGAACAAGUACCGUGAGGGAAAGAUGAAAAGAACUUUGAAAAGAGAGUUAAACAGUACGUGAAAUUGUCAAAAGGGAAGCGUUUGACACCAGUGUUGUUUUUCUGAAAAUCAAUUAAAGAACUGUUUAUGCUAAGCUGUUUAGACUUUAUCAGCUAUCUGUUUAGUUUUGAGCUUUUCUUUAAUGCACUUUUCAGUUAACAAGUCAACAUCAAUUUCUUUUGCUGUAAAAAAGCUUGAGGAAGGUGGCUUGAGAUUCGUCUUAAGUGUUUAUAGCCUCUUGCCUAUGCAGUCGGAGAGAUUGAGGUCUGCAGCGUAGAUCCUUCGGGGCUAAAUGCAUUUGUGCUAAGUUAUAGCAUUUUAUAGACAACUUGUUGACUAUGAUUUGUCUUGUAGCUUACUCGCUUAUGUUAUUUUACCUACGCUUAGGAUGUUGAUGUGAUACUGCGAGCA